CCCUUAGAUGUUCUGGGCUGCACGCGCGCUACACUGAAGCGUUCAACGAGUAUUCACCUUGCCCGGGAGGGUUGGGUAAUCUUUUGAAAACGCUUCGUGAUGGGGAUAGAUUAUUGCAAUUAUUAAUCUUCAACGAGGAAUUCCUAGUAAGCGCGAGUCAUCAGCUCGUGCUGAUUACGUCCCUGCCCUUUGUACACACCGCCCGUCGCUCCUACCGAUUUCGAGUGGUCCGGUGAAUCUUUCGGACUGCGCGCGGCCUCGUGCCGUGUCGCGGAAAGUCAGGUAAACCUUAUCACUUAGAGGAAGGAGAAGUCGUAGCA
rnacentral:rRNA from 1 species